GAGUUUGAUCCUGGCUCAGGAUGAACGCUGGCGGCGUGCUUAACACAUGCAAGUCGAGCGAAGCACUUAGGAAAGAUUCUUCGGAUGAUUUCCUUUGUGACUGAGCGGCGGACGGGUGAGUAACGCGUGGGUAACCUGCCUCAUACAGGGGGAUAACAGUUAGAAAUGACUGCUAAUACCGCAUAAGACCACGGUACCGCAUGGUACAGUGGUAAAAACUCCGGUGGUAUGAGAUGGACCCGCGUCUGAUUAGGUAGUUGGUGGGGUAACGGCCUACCAAGCCGACGAUCAGUAGCCGACCUGAGAGGGUGACCGGCCACAUUGGGACUGAGAUACGGCCCAGACUCCUACGGGAGGCAGCAGUGGGGAAUAUUGCACAAUGGAGGAAACUCUGAUGCAGCGACGCCGCGUGAAGGAUGAAGUAUUUCGGUAUGUAAACUUCUAUCAGCAGGGAAGAAAAUGACGGUACCUGACUAAGAAGCCCCGGCUAACUACGUGCCAGCAGCCGCGGUAAUAC
rnacentral:rRNA from 1 species